rnacentral:lncRNA from 1 species
GUUAGGCGAAAAGCAGAGAUCGGCGUCGCCGGGGAGAAGAGUUCCAUGGAGGAACGGCGGCGAGCGACAUUCAGAUUUUUUGAUUUCUUUCUUCUUCUUUUCUCUUUUUUUUGUUUUUUUCAUUUUAUUUCCUCGAUUUGGAGGGUUUGGAGAUGAGUAUUAUGGUUUUGUUGGGUUAGUAUGGUUGUCUAUUUUGAAAGCUCUUGCUGUUGUGUGGAGGAUGUCUGGCUGGUAUGGUUGGUAUGGCUGGGGACGUGUUGGAGAGUGUUGGGCUUCUCUACGGAUGGUGACAUGGAAACUAGGCUUCUGCCCCUUUUCAGGAGAAGGGUGGCAGCAGAGCUGAUGGAGCUCAGUGCCGUUCUUGGCAGGCUGGCUGCGCAGUAGGUUCUUUAUUCUUGUUGUCAGGAAAGCAAAAUGUAGAGAAAGAG